rnacentral:rRNA from 1 species
AGAGUUUGAUCAUGGCUCAGAACGAACGCUGGCGGCGUGCCUAAUACAUGCAAGUCGAACGAGAAAGUGGCUUCGGCCAUGAGUACAGUGGCAGACGGGUGAGUAAUACAUAGGUAAUCUUCCCUUGAGAUGGGAAUAACCUUCCGAAAGGAGGGCUAAUACCAAAUAAGACCACGACAACUCAGGUUGUUGAGGUAAAAAGGUGGCCUCUACUUGUAAGCUAUCGCUUAAGGAUGAGCCUAUGCACCAUCAGCUAGUUGGUAAGGUAACGGCUUACCAAGGCUUUGACGGUUAACUGAUCUGAGAGGUUGAUCAGUCACACUGGAACUGAGACACGGUCCAGACUCCUACGGGAGGCAGCAGUAGGGAAUAUUGCGCAAUGGAGGAAACUCUGACGCAGCGACGCCGCGUGGAGGAUGAAGGCUUUCGGGUCGUAAACUCCUGUCGGAAGGGACGAAAGUUUUAGGGCUAAUAUCCCUAGAAUCUGACGGUACCUUUAGAGGAAGCACCGGCUAACUACGUGCCAGCAGCCGCGGUAAUACGUAGGGUGCAAGCGUUGUUCGGAAUUAUUGGGCGUAAAGCGCGUGUAGGUGGCUAUGUAAGUCGAGUGUGAAAUCCCUGGGCUCAACCGAGGAAGUGCACUCGAAACUGCGUAGCUAGAGGAUAGUAGAGGAAGGUAGAAUUCCUAGUGUAGAGGUGAAAUUCGUAGAUAUUAGGAGGAAUACCGGUGGCGAAGGCGACCUUCUGGGCUAUUCCUGACACUGAGACGCGAAAGCAUGGGUAGCAAACAGGAUUAGAUACCCUGGUAGUCCAUGCCGUAAACGAUGGGUACUAGGUGUUGGAAGAUUUGACCCUUCCAGUGCCGACGCUAACGCAUUAAGUACCCCGCCUGGGAAGUACGGUCGCAAGAUUAAAACUCAAAUGAAUUGACGG